rfam:Serendipita vermifera MAFF 305830 unplaced genomic scaffold scaffold_1, whole genome shotgun sequence.
GGCCCUGUAAUGUAGUGGUUAUCAUAGCGGAUUCUGACUCCAGGAUCUUCCGCUAACCCCGGUUCGAGUCCGGGCAGGACCU